rnacentral:tRNA from 3 species
GCCCAGGUGGUGAAAUUGGCAGACACGCAGCGUUCAGGGCGCUGUGACCGCAAGGUCGUGGGAGUUCAAAUCUCCCCCUGGGCACAA